UACGAAGGGGGCUAGCGUUGUUCGGAAUUACUGGGCGUAAAGCGCGCGCAGGCGGUCUUCCAAGUCAGUGGUGAAAGCCUGGAGCUCAACUCCAGAACUGCCAUUGAAACUGUUGGACUUGAGUACGAGAGAGGUGAGUGGAAUUCCCAGUGUAGAGGUGAAAUUCGUAGAUAUUGGGAAGAACACCAGUGGCGAAGGCGGCUCACUGGCUCGUAACUGACGCUCAGGCGCGACAGCGUGGGGAUCAAACAGG
rnacentral:rRNA from 1 species